GACGAACGCUGGCGGCGCGCUUAACACAUGCAAGUCGAACGGAAAGGCCUGCUUUCCCUUGUGGAUUGCGGGUACUCGAGUGGCGAACGGGUGAGUAACACGUGAGUGAUCUGCCCCCAACUUGGGUAUAAGCCUGGGAAACUGGGUCUAAUUCCCGAUAGGACUGCAGGGUGGUGCCUGUGGUGGAAAACGAUUUUCUAGUGGUUGGGGAUGAGCUCGCGGCCUAUCAGCUUGUUGGUGGGGUAAUGGCCUACCAAGGCGGCGACGGGUAGCCGGCCUGAGAGGGUGGACGGCCGCAUUGGGACUGAGAUACGGCCCAGACUCCUACGGGAGGCAGCAGUGGGGAAUAUUGCACAAUGGGCGGAAGCCUGAUGCAGCGACGCCGCGUGGGGGAUGACGGCCUUCGGGUGGUAAACUCCUUUGGACCGCGAGGAAGCCACCUGGUUGGAAGGGUGGUGACGGUAGUGGUAGAAGAAGCACCGGCUAACUACGUG
rnacentral:rRNA from 1 species